CAAAAAAGCUACUAACUCUCCUCAGACGCCAGAGGCGAAGCAUACUAAAGUAUCCAUAUGACUGAAGUCUAUCAGGCAAUAUGGACCUGACAAGUUCAGAAGGAAUGGUGGAGAUUACAUCAAAGGCCAGCCAGGUCUUUGCAUACCUGAAACCAAUCUUCUUUGGAUUGUCAACCAGAUUAUAAGUAAAUUUAUCGAGGUAUGCCACAAAGAAGG
rnacentral:misc_RNA from 1 species